rnacentral:sRNA from 1 species
CUGCUGCUGCAGCAGCAGCAGCAGCAGCUGCUGCUGCUGCUGCUGUUGCAGCUGCUGCUGUUGCUGCAGCAGCUGCUGCUGCAGCUGCUGCUGUUGCUGCAGCAGCAGCAGCAGCUGCUGCUGCUGCAGCUGCUGCUGGUGUGCUGCUGGUGCUGUUGCUACAGCAGCAGCAGCUGCAGCAGCAGCUGCAGCAGCAGCAGCAGCAGCAGCAGCAGCAGCAGCAGCAGCAGCAGCAGCGGCGCUCGUGCUGCAGCGGGAAGAG